ensembl:lincRNA
CUGAUAACAGAUGUGAUUUCCAGCUGUGUCUAUAUACCAACCAUAUCUCCAGAUGAACAAAAGCAGAACUAUGAGAGGGUUCUCCACAUCUGUAAAGAAGAAAAAAUAAUAAACCGUCCAGCCAAUAUCAUAAGGUGUGUGAAGUACAGAAGACGCUUAUCAAAGUAA